GCAGGGUCUCCACGCUCUGGUUGGAUUCUGCUUUGGUGAUGACCGAAUCCCCUGGUGAGCUUCCUGCAGUACCACAGACACUUUACUGCUGUAACUGUGAAGGAAGAGAUUGCCAUGUGCAUAUGCAUUAAUCUACAGAAUGGGAAAAAAUGAGAAUCAACAAUUUCAAAAAGCUCUCUAGAAAAAAAAUAAUAAAAAAAAAA